UAGAGUUUGAUCAUGGCUCAGAUUGAACGCUGGCGGCAGGCCUAACACAUGCAAGUCGAACGGUAGCACAGAGUAGCUUGCUACUCGGGUGACGAGUGGCGGACGGGUGAGUAAUGUCUGGGAAACUGCCUGAUGGAGGGGGAUAACUACUGGAAACGGUAGCUAAUACCGCAUAACGUCGCAAGACCAAAGUGGGGGACCUUCGGGCCUCACGCCAUCGGAUGUGCCCAGAUGGGAUUAGCUAGUAGGUGGGGUAAUGGCUCACCUAGGCGACGAUCCCUAGCUGGUCUGAGAGGAUGACCAGCCACACUGGAACUGAGACACGGUCCAGACUCCUACGGGAGGCAGCAGUGGGGAAUAUUGCACAAUGGGCGCAAGCCUGAUGCAGCCAUGCCGCGUGUGUGAAGAAGGCCUUCGGGUUGUAAAGCACUUUCAGCGAGGAGGAAGGCGUUAAGGUUAAUAACCUUAGCGAUUGACGUUACUCGCAGAAGAAGCACCGGCUAACUCCGUGCCAGCAGCCGCGGU
rnacentral:rRNA from 1 species